rnacentral:rRNA from 1 species
GAUUUGAUCAUGGCUCAGAUUGAACGCUGGCGGCAUGCGUAACACAUGCAAGUCGAACGGUGUUUGGUGCUUGCACCAGACAUAGUGGCGGACGGGUGAGUAAUGCGUAGGAAUCUGUCUUAGAGAGGGGGACAACCCGAGGAAACUUGGGCUAAAACCGCAUAUUCUCGAGAGAGGAAAGCAGGGGACCGGAAACGGCCUUGUGCUCUAAGGUGAGCCUACGUCGGAUUAGCUAGUUGGUAGGGUAAAAGCCUACCAAGGCGAUGAUCUGUAGCUGGUCUGAGAGGACGGACAGCCACACUGGGACUGAGACACGGCCCAGACUCCUACGGGAGGCAGCAGUGGGGAAUAUUGGACAAUGGGGGGAACCCUGAUCCAGCGAUGCCGCGUGUGUGAAGAAGGCCUGCGGGUUGUAAAGCACUUUCAGUGGGAAAGAGAAGCGUCUUGUGAAUAAUGGGACGUGGAGACGUUACUCACAGAAGAAGCACCGGCUAACUCUGUG